rnacentral:rRNA from 1 species
AACCUUUCCAAUGCACGGAAGUGCGAUAAGGGGAUCCCAAGUGCCAAUACUAUGCAUUGGCUUUUGCCAAGAGUAAAAAUCUUGGCGAAUAAGUGAUGGGUAAGACUGGUGCCAGCCGCCGCGGUAACACCAGCGUCACGAGUGGCGUCCGCUUUUAUUGGGUCUAAAGUGUCCGUAGCUGGACAUGUAAGUCUUCUGUGAAAGCGUUGGGCCUAACUCAACGAAUUGCAGGAGAGACUGCGUGUCUUGAGACCGGGAGAGGCUAGAGGUAUUUUCGGGGUAGCGGUAAAAUGCGAUAAUCCCGGGAAGACCACCUGUGGCGAAGGCGUCUAGCUAGAACGGGUCUGACAGUGAGGGACGAAGGCUAGGGGAGCGAUCCGGAUUAGAUACCCGAGUAGUCCUAGCAGUAAACGAUGCGAGCUAGGUGUUGCAUAACCUCCGAGCUUAUGCAGUAUCGUAGGGAAGCCGUUAAGCUCGCCG